GAGCUUGCUCCGGCAGCACAUUCACUAAAACUGGAACGAUACACAGAAGAUUAGCAUGGCCCCCGCGCAAGGAUGACACGCAAAUUCCUGAAGCGUUCCAUAUUUAA